AGUGAACGCUGGCGGUAGGCCUAACACAUGCAAGUCGAACGGCAGCACAGUAAGAGCUUGCUCUUACGGGUGGCGAGUGGCGGACGGGUGAGGAAUACAUCGGAAUCUACUUUUUCGUGGGGGAUAACGUAGGGAAACUUACGCUAAUACCGCAUACGACCUACGGGUGAAAGCAGGGGAUCUUCGGACCUUGCGCGAUUGAAUGAGCCGAUGUCGGAUUAGCUAGUUGGCGGGGUAAAGGCCCACCAAGGCGACGAUCCGUAGCUGGUCUGAGAGGAUGAUCGGCCACACUGGAACUGAGACACGGUCCAGACUCCUACGGGAGGCAGCAGUGGGGAAUAUUGGACAAUGGGCGCAAGCCUGACGCAGCCAUACCGCGUGGGUGAAGAAGGCCUUCGGGUUGUAAAGCCCUUUUGUUGGGAAAGAAAAGCAGCAGGUUAAUACCCCGCUGUUCUGACGGUACCCAAAGAAUAAGCACCGGCUAACUUCGUG
rnacentral:rRNA from 1 species